CGCUUUGCGCAGUGGCAGUAUUGUAGCCAAUGAGCUUUAUCUGAGGUGCGAUUAUUGCUAAUUGAAAAACAAUAGUAUACCAAACAUCCUAUCAUAUUUCUAAAUAAGAAAAAUAUCAGAUACUGUGAUAAAAUA